rnacentral:rRNA from 1 species
UACGAAGGGGGCUAGCGUUGUUCGGAUUUACUGGGCGUAAAGCGCGUGUAGGCGGGUCGUUAAGUUGGGGGUGAAAUCCCGAGGCUCAACCUCGGAACUGCCUUCAAAACUGGCGACCUGGACCCAAGUAGAGGCAAGUGGAAUUGCGAGUGUAGAGGUGAAAUUCGUAGAUAUUCGCAGGAACACCAGUGGCGAAGGCUACUUGCUGGACUUGUGGUGACGCUGAGACGCGAAAGCGUGGGGAGCAAACAGG